rnacentral:rRNA from 1 species
AUUUANAGGAAGGAGAAGUCG